UUAUCCCUACGGGGCGCAGCAGUGGGGAAUAUUGGGCAAUGGGCGCAAGCCUGACCCAGCAACGCCGCGUGAAGGAAGAAGGCUUUCGGGUUGUAAACUUCUUUUAUCAGGGACGAAGCAAGUGACGGUACCUGAUGAAUAAGCCACGGCUAACUACGUGCCAGCAGCCGCGGUAAUACGUAGGUGGCAAGCGUUAUCCGGAUUUACUGGGUGUGAAGGGCGUGUAGGCGGGAGUGCAAGUCAGAUGUGAAAACUAUG
rnacentral:rRNA from 1 species